rnacentral:rRNA from 1 species
GGGGAAUAUUGCACAAUGGGCGAAAGCCUGAUGCAGCGACGCCGCGUGGGGGAUGAUGGCCUUCGGGUUGUAAACCUCUUUCAGUAGGGAAGAAGCGAAAGUGACGGUACCUGCAGAAGAAGCGCCGGCUAACUACGUGCCAGCAGCCGCGGUAAUACGUAGGGCGCAAGCGUUGUCCGGAAUUAUUGGGCGUAAAGAGCUUGUAGGUGGCUUGUCGCGUCUGCCGUGAAAACCCGAGGCUCAACCUCGGGCGUGCGGUGGGUACGGGCAGGCUAGAGUGUGGUAGGGGAGACUGGAACUCCUGGUGUAGCGGUGAUAUGCGCAGAUAUCAGGAAGAACACCGAUGGCGAAGGCAGGUCUCUGGGCCAUUACUGACACUGAGAAGCGAAAGCAUGGGGAGCGAACAGGAUUAGAUACCCUGGUAGUCCAUGCCGUAAACGUUGGGCACUAGGUGUGGGGAACAUUCCGCGUUUUCCGCGCCGUAGCUAACGCAUUAAGUGCCCCGCCUGGGGAGUACGGCCGCAAGGCUA